AUUUGCAAGAUAAUGCAAUAGAUUGCCAGUCUGAUUUUAGACAUUUUAUGGCAGAUACUUCCUGUAGUGCAG